UUAUAGCUUUAAACCUUUCACUAAAAGCUUCACUCAUACAUAAAUUAUUGGCUGAGGGUUGUAUUAAAGAGCUGAGGUCUAUGGUGAUAGGUGGAUGGGCUGAGGGUGGUCUAUGUUGAUAGGUGGAUGGGCUGAGAGUGACUGAGGGGUUGUAUUAAAGAGCUGAGGUCUAUGGUGAUAGGUGGGAUGGGCUGGGAGUGACUGAGGGGUUGUAUUAAAGAGCUGAGGUCUAUGGUGAUAGGUGGGAUGGGCUGAGAGUGACUGAGGGGUGGGAUUAAAGAGCUGAGGACUAUGGUGAUAGGUGGGAUGGGCUGAGAGUGACUGAGGGGUUGUAUUAAAGAGCUG